AGCACCCUGCAUAAAAUUAUGCCAAAACCAUUUUGCUGUGGAAAUGGUUUAUGUGAGUUGUACUCCAAAACCAUUUCUGGAUUUAUGCAGGGUGCAUAAGGAUUUCCUUAUGCACCAUAACCGCACCCGUGGUUAGGUUGUAUGGAAUGUUAAAACCUUUUGGAGCUAAAUCUACCUAUAUCAGUAGCAGAAAUCUUAGAUUAUUUGGGAGAAUGCAUGUUUGUAAAGAUUUGACAAUGUAGGAAGAUGACCCCAAUAUAAAUAUCUAGGGUCUUGAAAGAUAAUUAAGAUAUAAGAUACAAGAAUAUAAGUAUAUAAUUGCUUAAACCGGGUACAUUCUGCUUUCCAAGGAGAAGGUUUUAUGAUUAAUUAAGUAGUUAUUUCAGUUUGAAUAUAGGAAAUCAUGUUUGGAUGUUGCUCAUCGCUCAAUGGGUUGGCAGGAUCACGACCUGAUUAGUGGUAUUUAGUAUUUACUGACAUGAUUCACCAUAGUUUGAACUGGCUUGGCUUUGUUAUUACUAGGAGGAUAUGCAUGAAGUGUAACAACGAUAUCCUUGGCGUCACCUAAAAUUGAUCUUGAAAGUCAGCACACAACGAUCUUUCUUAGGUUUCCUAUGCUUAGAAGCAUUAUUGUCUUCGCGCAUGUUUGAUAUCAUGGUGGAUUUGUCAGAAUCACGGGGAGUCACCAACUCACCAUAAUUUUGUAAAAGCUAAGUUAUGUUUUUGAAAAUCACCGUAGCUUGCCAUGACUCUGACAAACUCAUUGUAAUACCAAACUUUAUAAGCAAUGUAGGCAUCAAUGGCAAAAGUAUUGCUGGUGACCUUCCCUUUGAGUUUCUUCAUGAAGCGCAAAUGUGAAAACCCUGUUAAUGAAUGAUGGGUGCCAUUUGAUAAAAUUGGCCACUGAUUUGGUUUUAAGAAUUAUUCAAGGCAAUAGUAAGGACGUAUUUGUUGAGGAAUCCGGAGAGUGACAACAGACAAAUAGUAAUGAACUAGGACCACCGGGAUACUUGGACACCACCUCUCCACUCCAAAACUUUAAGGACUCAUUCAUGCCCAUUGUAAGGACAUGCUCGUUCUGCAGAAAUGCAAUCUGAAUCUGAUUAUGUUCACUACCACAAUCUUAGUUAAGCAUCGGACAAAUUCACCAAGUCCUUAGAUGCUCUUAACCUUGGUGAAAUAGUUAUUUUACAAAGACAGAUCUGUGUCGUGCAACCAAUCAGAUCCUUGCUAAACUAGAAAAUGCAAGGACAUUUUCUUCUACUAAAGUCGUUCUUGGAGAUCUUGCCAAAACCAGUGUAUGCAGAUGUGAGAUGACAAAAAAUUACACUUGGUAUGACAUAAUUUGAUCCAUGUAACCGACCCCAUUUAAUGAGAUAAGACUUGUUUGUUGUUGUUGUUGAUGUAUGAUUUCCCUUUAAAUUGACUCUGAAAGCGAAGAUGCAAGAGUACUGCUAUUGUAGGAUCAAGAUUCGGUGAGAUUGUGUCGCGUUAAGUGACAUGUUCGGACACGAGUCUUAGUACACGUAGGCAAAAGUCAGGGAAUAAAUUAAUAUGAAGCUAGAUUUUUAAUUGAAAAACUCCAACAUCCAGCAAGUAAAGAAACUAAAUCACUAAAUGGUAUCUUGGUUGUUGCUACAAACCAGAAAAAUACUAUAGUGGUAUUACUGUAUUAGUGUUUAGUAUGUUGUUGUAUCAUAUAAUUUCAUCACAAGCCAGAAUAAAGUAUAAUUCCAAUUUUUACA